UUUGCAACCAGACUUUCAACCUGCUUAGAGAUGGCAAGAGCUUGUGCGUGUUUCAAAGGGUACUGUGGUCGCCUUGGCGGGGUAGCUCCUUCGAUGAGUGUGACUACCACAGGUGGGACUCGGAGACGUCCAAUAUCAUCUGGGCCUGUAGACCAGAGUUUUGUUGGGAUGGAAUCCAGCGCACUGGGGGCAUCAGUGACCAUUGUUUCCUCUGUGGGGGAAGUCAUGUGCAUGAGUAGGGGUAGAGAACAAAG